UUUAUUAAUGAAACAAGUAGUUCACAGACAUAAUUGUGUAAAUUGAGGUAAAAAACAUAAAUGAUGUGGACUAUUUUCCAAGAUAUUAAAUUGAAAUGUUGACACUAUUAUUAAACAACAAGAAUAAUUCAAUAAUUUUCAGGUCAGAAAAGAGUUAUUCAACCAGAAAGAAAAAGAAGAAAACUUGAUUUUCUUGUUGAUGUAUCCGUGAUUAGUAAUAAAAAUUACAGGAAAAUAAUAAUAAUAAAAGAUAUAAAUAUAUAUACAAGAAAUUGGAAAUAUUUUAAUUCAAAUCUAUUAUCUAAUAUUUUUCCGAAAAAAUAAUCAACUUUCACCAUUCAUUUUUGCAAGAGAGGCCAAAAAUGAAAGAGUGAAUUUUUCUCUUCUUUCGAAUCAAACUCACAACUGGUCUGUAAUCGACUGGAACUAACAAACAUAUACAAUUGUAUCACUUUGUUGGUUCAACUUGUCAAACCAGUUCUCGAUUCCACUUUUUAAUUUCUCCGUAAUGAUCAUGAAAGCUUUAAGGAAGAAAGAAAAAAUAUACUGAACGUCGAUGGAAAAAUUGGCUUAAGACUUAAGCACUGAUACUGACUAGGUAAAUGAAAUUACUAUGUAACCCACUUUCUUUUGAAUCACAUUGGCUUUUGUACACAAUAUAGAAGCCAAGGCGAACACGUGAAGACGUGAGUACACACAGUACCUUAAAGAAUCUAAAAUAUAUCGAAAUAGAUGAAUAUGGCUCUAGACUAUCUAUCUUUUCACGUUGAAUGGAAGGAUAGGGUAAACAUUUCAAAAUGAAUCUCGAAAUUGCGAAGAAGAAACUUGAGAACGUCUCUGUGUCUCUCUCUUAAAAAGCAGUAUUGCUUGUCAUUCAGCUUAGGCUUUAUUUUCAAGUAUGGAAUUACUUUCACUAAAAAAAAAGAGUGGGCACGCACGAGACCAUCAAUAUCUUUUUUUUUGAGAGAGAAAAGUUGUCCGCCACAAUAGAAUAUAGGCAACAUUAAAUUGAAAAAGGAGGCCUUCAGUUGCAGCUUUUUGAGCUAAUGCUUUCUUUGUUGGGACACGAUGUAUUCUCUGGAGUAUAAAUCCUGACAAUGAGACACAAGCUCAUUCCGUUAGCCGGAUGACGAUAUCAUCAUGUUUGACGAACACAUGCGGGUUAAAAGGCGCGCGGAAAUGUUCACUCAAAUAUAAAUCUAUCAUCAUUAUUUUUGAAUUCUAGUUUGGAUGGUAUUCAUUAUGAAAAUUUAAUGAAAAAGUUUCUACGAUAGAGAGUAAAUAAAAAUUAAUUAACAAAAAUAAGAAACACAAAUGCUGUGGUGACUUGCAAAUGAUUAGAUUCUAAUGAACCAUCAUUCUGCGCGCCUCCCAGGAAGACUUUAAUGAAACUAUUGCCAUCAAGGCUUUUCUACAUCUACAGACCAUGACCUAAUUAAAUUUGUUACCUCAUUGAUUGAAAUCAGAAUUUGAGAGAUGAAUUCAUAUAUGUACAAUAUAAAUAACGAGUAACGAAGAAGAAGAAGAAGAAGAGGAAUAAUCAGAGAAAGAAAUAAUAAUAGAAAAAGAAAUAAGAAAAAAAAAUUUCAUCCUUUUUCUUCUUUCUAUUAUCUCUUCGGAAAUUUUAAUUCAAGCGUAACAAAUAAACUUACAGAUGAAAAUAAAAUAAAAAAAAAAAAUAAAAAAUUAUGUUUUGAACGAUGCGAUUAUCUGCUGUAAAUUGGUGAUGCGUUUUAUAUAUAUAUAUAUAUAUAUAUAUGGUGAGAGGUCUACAUACGCGAAAGGUACCGCGAGGGCAAGUGACCAGGAAAGAGAAUAAAAAAAGGACAAAGAAUUAUGGAGGUAGAGCAACUGAGAAAGAACCUCUGGGAAAUGGCUUAACAACAUUUCAAGAUCUCUAACCGUCUCUUCCGUGUUUUUACAAUAUGCUACUACAUUUACAUUUUGAAUAAAGCUUUGCGUUUACAAUUUUUUACAUCAUACCGAAGAAGCUCCCAUUCGUCCACAAUAGAACAAGAAAAACAAUUUGGAAAAUUUCUCUCACCAGUCUCAUUUAAAUGGGAUCAUUUUCAAAAAAAAAAAAAGCCAAAUGACAAAUUAGUUGAGAGAACACCGUGACAUUUUACAAUUAGAAUUCGUCCCCCUUUUGAGGUCUACAAUGGUAUUCGACAUUUGUAUAUAGUUAGAUAGAGUAGAUAAUAAUAAAAGCCAGCAACAUGUGCGCCCGCUACUCUACAAUAUUCGCUUCGUUACUACAGAAACUAUAUCGCUCUAUUUUGCUCUCUAUAAUAUUAUGUAUAUACAAAUAUUUCUGAUUUGAAAUUUCAAUUUGAAAAUUUUCAAGAAAUUCAUAGGCCACAAAAAUGCUUACACAAAUGUUGAUGGUUAAAUGUUUUACUCGAACUCAGAGAACGUAAAAACGGCGCAUUUGUGCGAAAACUUUUAUUACACGAGUGAAUGUCGUCGUUGACGACGGGCAAAGAACCCUUUGAAUUGCGCAAAAAAAAAAAAGAGGGGUUGUAAAUUAAAAUGCAGUUUGAUGAAAAUCUUGAAGCGAGCUUAAAAACAAAAGAUAACACUGUCUCAAGUUUCUGACUCGAAAUCUCGAGAAAAAAAGAAGAACCAAAAAAUUAAUUAUUUUACUUGACACUCAAAUUUGAUUUAUUUUUUAAAAAAUAAAUCGUCACAUUUAAAAGGAAGAUAAUUUUAUAAUUAAUCUGAUGCAUAUCGCUUCAUAUUAAAUUCAUAAAUAUAAAAGAGGUCACUUAUAAAAUUAUCACUCAUAAUGGAAAUUAAAAUAACAACUUUAAAUGUUUCAUGAACAAAAGAAUCGUUCUUCUUUAAAUCUAAAUUAAUUAAUAAUUAAUAAUUAAAAAUUGUAAAAUGAUUGAAAAAAAAUUGUGAAAAAUGUAUUUUUUGUAAUUAUUAUAAAUAGAAAAAGACAAACAGAGAGUUUAAAAUAGUUAUAAAUUGAUAAUAAUUCGUGAGAUUGUGAUCAUCACAUUACUGUCAAUCAGUGGUUUGAAUGGACCUGAGAACUUUUUUCACUAUAAUCACAUCUGAUAAAACGACGUGUGAGACUCGACUCUAAAAUUACAAGUAUGAGAAUCCAUUGUUGAAUAAUAAUAAAUUUCAUACAA